GGCCUUGGAGAUCGAUGACGAUGAGUAGGUUCUGGUCGCCGUCGUGGUACUCGUGGUAGGCCGACAGCUGAUGCAAGUUCGGCCAAUACCAAGUUAGGAUACCCUGAAAGAGACGGUUCAGUUGCUGAACGUCAGUGUGAGCUAUGAAAAGGCCUACUCCUUCAAUCUAUUGUAAGGCACAACCAUACAGGAAUAAAACUUAAAGCCUAGGUUAGAUAGACAUCAGAGUGUAUGAAAAAAGACAUGGUUGAUAGCAGCCAUCCAAGAUUAAAGAUGAUUGGUGAGUUAAGACACCUACUUAUCGUUUUUUUUUUCACUUACCAUCAUUCUUACACGAUUCUCACCCGCUUAUCAGAUCGUGCUGCAAUAUUGAGUUUGUGGUGGCUUCCAUUUGUAUCUCAACCAUGUUGAGAAAUUUCCGUUUGGCUUUCCUCCAUGAGCUUUUAUAGUAAUUGUGGUUUUGGUGUACUUAAAUAUCUUCCAUAGCAUCCAAUUGGUAUAUACUAAUUAAAAUUUUCCAUUUAUAUUCGCUGCUCACAGAUCUCACCAGAAGCAUGCAUGUUCGCUGAUGCUGACCAUUAUAAGACUACAACUAUGUGUCUGUACAAUACUAUGUUACAACUGCGGUGAAAUUUGGGGAUGUCUCCACAGUUUUUCAGAACAAACCUCUGGUCAUCUGUUGAUUGUUCAACAAGCUUCGUUUUCAGGACUUCUAAUUGACCAAAGAGCAAGCAUGACAGUUCAAUCUUUUUUCCAAAUAUGUUCUCAAUAACAGAGUAAUCUGGUGAGGUGUUGAAUGGAUCUUCUUGAACUCCAGUACAUGUAAGCAUUCUUUUAGCGUGCAGAUUAACCACUUCUCUCUCUUGUAGUUUUGGUGGCCUAACUGGGCAGUUCUGUUUUGCACUACAUUGGCACCUUUUGGGGUUCUGGACUUAUGGUUGCAUAAAGUCUUUAUAUAUCGAUGUAGCAUGGU